AGCGGCCCCGUGCGGAGCCCCGACAGUGUGGCCGCAGCGCGGCUGUGGUCCCUCAUGCUCCGCCGAGUUUCUAGCCUGACACGCCCUUGACCUGAGGAUCGUGAACCGCAGCUGCCAGGUGAGGUGUGUGGCCUGGGUCCGCUGCGGCAUGGCCAAAGAGACACCAGACAAGGUAGAGCUGAGUAAAGAAGAAGUAAAACGUCUCACUGCUGAGGCAAAGGAGAAAUUGCAAGAAGAAGGUGGGUGGUGGCAUUGAUGAAGAGGAGACAGGCAGUCCUUCAGAAGAUGGCAUGCAGAGUGCGCGCACCCAGGCACACCCAAGAGAGCCCCUGGAUGGUGACCCAGAGGAUGACAGGACGCUCGAUGAUGAUGAGCUAAGUAUGACUUAUAUAAAUAUGAUGAGGAAGAUGACCCAGAUGCUGAGACUCUUGGUGAAUCUCUCUUGGGUCUUAUGGUCUACGGGAGUAAUGAUCAAGAUCCUUACGUUACUCUGAAAGAUACAGAACAAUAUGAACUUGAAGAUUUCUUGCUUAAGCCCAGUGAUAAUCUCAUAGCUUGUGGCCGAGCUGAACAGGACCAGUGCAAUUUAGAGGUGCAUGUUUAUAAUCAAGAAGAAGACUCUUUUUAUGUACAUCAGGAUAUACUCUUGUCUGCAUAUCCUCUGAGUGUGGAAUGGCUGAAUUUUGAUCCUAGCCCAGAUGAUUCUACUGGAAAUUACAUUGCUGUAGGAAACAUGACCCCUGUUAUUGAAGUGUGGGACCUUGAUAUAGUGGACUCUUUAGAGCCAGUCUUCACACUGGGAAGUAAACUUUCAAAAAAGAAGAAAAAGAAAGGAAAGAAGAGUUUCUCAGCAGAAGGGCAUACCGAUGCUGUCCUUGACCUUUCAUGGAAUAAGCUAAUCAGAAAUGUUUUAGCAAGUGCGUCAGCGGACAACACUGUAAUUCUGUGGGAUAUGUCCUUGGGGAAACCAGCAGCUAGCCUCCCUAUACACACAGACAAGGUCCAAAUGCUGCAGUUUCAUCCAUUUGAAGCACAGACUCUGAUUUCUGGCUUUGUAUGACUGCUGAAGUCCAGAUGAAAGCCAUCGAAUGUGGCGAUUCAGUAGGCAGAUAGAGUGACUUGGAAUCACUUUUCACCUUGUCAUUUUUUGGCCAGUACAGAUGAUGGCUUUGUGUAUAAUUUGGAUGCAGGUUCAGAUAAGCCAAUUUUUACACUUAAUGCGCACAAUGAUGAAAUCUCUGGUCUUGAUCUUAGCAGUUAAAUCAAGGGCUGUCUCGUGACUGCUUCAGUUGACAAAUAUGUGAAGAUCUGGGGCAUCUUAGGAGAUAGGCCAAGUCUAGUUCAUUCUAGGGACAUGAAAAUGGGAGUUCUCUUCUGUUCUUUAUGUUGCCCUGAUUUGCCAUUUAUUUAUGCCUUUGGAGGUCGAAAAGAAGGGCUUUGGGUCUGGGAUAUAAGCACAGUCUCUUCGGUAAAUCAAGCAUUUGGAAGACGAGAGAGGCAUGUUCUCAGGAGUGCAAGAAAUUCAUCUAUCAGUGGCCCUUUUGGCAGCAGGAGCUCAGACACACCCAUGGAGUCUUAAUGAAGAUCAUCUAAUUUCCCAUUUACCUUAACUGGGAAUUUUGAAAAGUUGGCCUAAAAAUGUUCCAUAUGUGGCAGCAACCAUGCAGAGUGACUGAAACACAAUUCAUUUCUGACUUCCUGAUAUUCCUUUCUGCAACUGUGGUGGCACCACAAACAGAGCUGGUCUUUGUGCUUGCUCUUCAAAUGGAUGGUUUGUAAGGCUCUUGUUGCAUUUCUUAAAAGAGUAAUAAAAAGGAUUUAAAAAAAUAGUUCCUCAAACAUACCAUCUGUCAUAGUUAAUCUAGGUUUGCAAAUAUGUAGUAAUUUAUAGAAUUUUUAAAGCGUAAAAUCCUGUAAUAUUAAAAGAUGGGUAAACCUAGGCCUGGAAAGGUUGUUAUUUGGCUAAGAUUGCACAGGAGGCCACAAACAGAGGCAAGUGCCCCAGAGACUCCACUUUCCUUCCUAACUAUUCUCAAAUUAAUGCUCGUGAUUGAGAAGUAUGCUCAAUGCAACUCAUAGAGUUUGGUAAGUAAAAGUUACAUGCCCCUGUUUUCCUAGCAUGAUAUUCACUGUUAUCAAAGACAAGAGGCAGACCAUUCAUUCAUUCUCAAAACACUGAAUGCCAUUCUGUGCCCAGUGCUAUACAAGGCAUGGGAGAUUCAGUGUGAAUAAGUCUUUGCUCUCCACCUAACAAGGGACAAUUUUCAUUGUAGAUCGUCUUCCUAUUAAGUAUGAAUUUUAGUAGGCAUUAAAAAUUAGUUUGAUAAUAUGAGACCCAACCCUAACUUGCCAGAAGAAUAAUCAGUUCAUGAACCUUUGAUAUUUCCUGUAUAAUUCAUGAAUGUGACUUCAAUCUUUCUAGUGUUAAUACUAUGGAAUGUCAUUGAUGUAACAACUUGGGUUCACCAAAACACCUCUUUAUACAAAGGACAGAUGUGUGAAUUAAAGAGAUUAAAGGAUGGAG